UACGGGGGGGGCAAGCGUUGUUCGGAAUUACUGGGCGUAAAGGGCCAGUAGGCGGCCAACUAAGUCAGACGUGAAAUCCCUCGGCUUAACCGGGGAACUGCGUCUGAUACUGGAUGGCUUGAGAUCGGGAGAGGGAUGCGGAAUUCCAGGUGUAGCGGUGAAAUGCGUAGAUAUCUGGAGGAACACCGGUGGCGAAGGCGGCAUCCUGGACCGACACUGACGCUGAGGAGCGAAAGCGUGGGGAGCGAACGAGG
rnacentral:rRNA from 1 species